UACAGAGGUCCCAAGCGUUGUUCGGAUUCAUUGGGCGUAAAGGGUGCGUAGGCGGCGCGGUAAGUCGGGUGUGAAAUCUCGGGGCUUAACUCCGAAACUGCAUUCGAUACUGCCGUGCUUGAGGACUGGAGAGGAGACUGGAAUUUACGGUGUAGCGGUGAAAUGCGUAGAUAUCGUAAGGAAGACCGGUGGCGAAGGCGGGUCUCUGGACAGUUCCUGACGCUGAGGCACGAAGGCCGGGGGAGCAAACGGG
rnacentral:rRNA from 1 species